rnacentral:rRNA from 1 species
AUUUAACGCUGGCGGCAGGCCUAACACAUGCAAGUCGAACGAGUUGCGGACGGGUGAGUACUUUCUGGGAAACUGCCUGAUGGAGUGGGAUAACUACUGGAAACGGUAGCUAAUACCGCAUACCAUCAGAUGUUCCCAGAUGGGAGUAGCUGGUUGGUGGGGUAACGGCUCACCAAGGCGACGAUCCCUAGCUGGUCUGAGAGGAUGACCAGCAAAACUGGAACGGAGACACGGUCCAGAAUCAGACGGGAGGCAGCAGUGGGGAAUAUGGAACAAUGGGAGCAAGCCUGAUGCAGCCAUGCCGCGUGUAUGAAGAAGGCCUUCGGGGUGUAAAGUACUUUCAGCGGGGAGGCGUUACCCGCAGAAGAAGCACCGGCUAACUCCGUGCCAGCAGCCGCGGUAAUUC